GACGAACGCUGGCGGCGUGCUUAACACAUGCAAGUCGAGCGGUAAGGCCCUUUCGGGGGUACACGAGCGGCGAACGGGUGAGUAACACGUGGGUGACCUGCCCUCAGCUCUGGGAUAAGCCUGGGAAACCGGGUCUAAUACCGGAUAUGACUCCAUGACGCAUGUUGUGGGGUGAAAGCCUUGUGCGGCUGAGGAUGGGCCCGCGGCCUAUCAGCUUGUGGUGGGGUGAUGGCCUACCAAGGCGACGACGGGUAGCCGGCCUGAGAGGGCGACCGGCCACACUGGGACUGAGACACGGCCCAGACUCCUACGGGAGGCAGCAGUGGGGAAUCUUGCGCAAUGGG
rnacentral:rRNA from 1 species